CGUAGGUGAACCUGCGGAAGGAUCAUUAACAAAUCCUAGCCGUUGUUGCCUCCGACGGUGGCGACGGUGAAACACCGUGCACUGGAGACCGGAGGAUGGGAGUCCCGGUUCGGUUUACGAGAGGUGUGCAGCCGGCGCAUGCUCGAGCGGGUGCCGCACUUAAAUCGAUGGAGAUUCCGACGUGACACCGCUCACCGGGCCUCAAACCGAACCAUCCCGCCUUUGGUUUUUUGUCUUUGAACCUGUCGGACUUUUUUUUUGUUUUUGGUAGAUUUGUACGUGUGGCAAAAAACUGACAACUUCUGACGGUGGAUCUCUUGGCUCGUGCAUCGAUGAAGAACGCAGCAAGCUGCGAUAUCUAGUGUGAAUUGCAGAAUUCAGUGAAUCAUCGAGUCUUUGAACGCAAAUGGCGCUCCCGGGGUCUCCUCGGGAGCAGGUCUGUCCGAGCGUCUGCCAACCGAAAGGGUCGUGUCCACAUGGUCGACUAGAUUUGAGUGGGUUC
rnacentral:misc_RNA from 1 species